UGGGGAAUAUUGGACAAUGGACCGAGAGUCUGAUCCAGCAAUUCUGUGUGCACGAUGACGUUUUUCGGAAUGUAAAGUGCUUUCAGUUGGGAAGAAAAAAAUGACGGUACCAACAGAAGAAGUGACGGCUAAAUACGUGCCAGCAGCCGCGGUAAUACGUAUGUCACAAGCGUUAUCCAGAUUUAUUGGGCGUAAAGCGCGUCUAGGUGGUUAUGUAAGUCUGAUGUGAAAAUGCAGGGCUCAACUCUGUAUUGCGUUGGAAACUGUAUAACUAGAGUACUGGAGAGGUAAGCGGAACUACAAGUGUAGAGGUGAAAUUCGUAGAUAUUUGUAGGAAUGUCGAUGGGGAAGCCAGCUUACUGGACAGAUACUGACGCUAAAGCGCGAAAGCGUGGGUAGCAAACAGG
rnacentral:rRNA from 1 species